GUGCUCACUUUCGCAGCACAUACACUAACGCUGGAACAAGACAGAGGGGUCAUUAUGGCCUCUGUGCAAGGAAGACACACAAGUCCAUGCAGCGUUCCAUAUUCCC